rnacentral:rRNA from 1 species
GACGAACGCUGGCGGCGUGCUUAACACAUGCAAGUCGAACGGAAAGGCCCCUUCGGGGGUACUCGAGUGGCGAACGGGUGAGUAACACGUGAGUAACCUGCCCUUGACUUCGGGAUAACUUCAGGAAACUGGGGCUAAUACCGGAUAGGAAUCCUUGCUGCAUGGUGGGGGUUGGAAAGCUUCGGCGGUUUUGGAUGGACUCGCGGCUUAUCAGCUUGUUGGUGGGGUAGUGGCUUACCAAGGCUUUGACGGGUAGCCGGCCUGAGAGGGCGACCGGCCACAUUGGGACUGAGAUACGGCCCAGACUCCUACGGGAGGCAGCAGUGGGGAAUAUUGCACAAGGGGCGGCAGCCGGAUGCAGCAACGCCGCGUGCGGGAUGACGGCCUUCGGGUUGUAAACCGCUUUCAGCAGGGGCGAAGCUUGUGGUGACGGUACCUGCAGAAGAAGCACCGGCUAACUACGUG